GUAGGGAGCUAGCGUUAUCCGGAUUUAUUGGGUGUAAAGGGUGCGUAGGCGGAUUAAUAAGUUGGUGGUCUAAGCCCGAAGCUUAACUUCGGUUCGCCACCAAAACUGUUAACCUUGAGUAUGGUAGAGGCAAGUGGAAUUUCUAGUGUAGCGGUUAAAUGCGUAGAUAUUAGAAGGAACAUCAGUGGCGAAGGCGACUUGCUGGGCCAACACUGACGCUGAGGCACGAAAGCGUGGGGAGCAAAUAGGAUUAGAUACCCUAGUAGUCCACGCCGUAAACGAUGGAUACUAAGUGUCGGGCAACCGGUGCUGAAGUAAACACAUUAAGUAUCCCACCUGAGUAGUACGGUCGCAAGGCUG
rnacentral:rRNA from 1 species